rnacentral:rRNA from 1 species
AGAAUCUUUCGCAAUGCCCGAAAGGGUGACGAAGCGACGCCGCGUGUGGGAAGAAGGCCUUCGGGUUGUAAACCACUGUCGGGAGUUAAGAAAUGCAAGGGUGUUAAUAGCGCCCUUGCUUGACUAAGGCUCCGGAGGAAGCUACGGCUAACUCUGUGCCAGCAGCCGCGGUAAUACAGAGGUGGCAAGCAUUGUUCGGAAUUAUUGGGCGUAAAGAGCACGUAGGCGGCCUUGAAAGUCAGUUGUGAAAUCCUUCCGCUUAACGGAAGAACUGCAUCUGAUACUCCAGGGCUCGAGUGCGGGAGGGGAGAGUGGAACUUCUGGUGGAGCGGUGAAAUGCGUAGAUAUCAGAAGGAACGCCGGCGGCGAAAGCGGCUCUCUGGUCCGUAACUGACGCUGAGUGUGCGAAAGCUAGGGGAUCAAACGGGAUUAGAUACCCCGGUAGUCCUAGCCGUAAACGAUGGGCACUAAGUAGAGGGGUUUUGAUUAUCUCUCUGCCGGAGCUAACGCAUUAAGUGCCCCGCCUGGGAAGUACGGCCGCAAGGCUAAAACUCAAAAGAAUUGGCGGGGGCUCGCACAAGCGGUGGAGCAUGUGGCUUAAUUCGAUGCAACGCGAAGAACCUUACCGGGGUUUGACAUGGUAGAAGUAGGAACCAGAAAUGGUAACGAACGGUUUCCAGUCCGUNACUAUCACAGGUGUUGCAUGGCUG